UACGUAGGUGGCAAGCGUUGUCCGGAUUUACUGGGCGUAAAGGAUGCGUAGGCGGACAUUUUAAGUCAGAUGUGAAAUACCCGAGCUUAACUUGGGUGCUGCAUUUGAAACUGGCACGCUCGAGUUCGGGAGAGGAUGGUGGAAUUCCCAGUGUAGAGGUGAAAUUCGUAGAUAUUGGGAAGAACACCGAUGGCGAAGGCAGCCAUCUGGACCGGCAUUGACGCUGAUGAGCGAAAGCUAGGGGAGCAACGGG
rnacentral:rRNA from 1 species